rnacentral:rRNA from 1 species
GAUGAACGCUGGCGGCGUGCCUAAUACAUGCAAGUCGAGCGAACGGACGAGAAGCUUGCUUCUCUCACGUUAGCGGCGGACGGGUGAGUCACAUGUGGAUCACCUACCUAUCAGACUGGGAUAACUUCGGGAAACCGUAGCUAAUACCAGAUAAUCUUUUGAACCGCAUGGUUCAUAAGUGAAAGACGGUCUUGCUGUCACUUAUAGAUGGAUCCGCGCUGCAUUAGCUAGUUGGUAAGGUAACGGCUUAUCAAGGCAACGCUGCGUAGCCGACGUGAGAGAGUGGUAGGCCACACUGGAGCUGGGACGCGGUCCAGACUCCUACGGGAGGCAGCAGUAGGGAAUCUGACGCAAUGGGCGAAAGCCUGACGGAGCGGGGCCGCGUGAGUGAUGAAGGUCUUCGGAUCGUAAAAAUCUGUUAUGAGUGAAGAACAUAUGUGUAAGUAAAUGUGCAGAGAGUGACGGUAACGAAUCAGAAAGCCACGGCUAACUACGUG